CAGAGAAUAGUUUAGUUCUAGAAUGUUAGCUUUGGGAGUUGACGGUAGAGGUUUAAGUCCUCUUUCUCUGA
rnacentral:tRNA from 1 species